AACGUAGGUCCCGAGCGUUAUCCGGAUUUACUGGGCGUAAAGCGUGUUCAGGCGGCCUGGCAAGUCGGGCAUGAAAUCUCUCGGCUCAACCGGGAGGGGCUGUCCGAUACUGCUGGGCUUGAGGGCAGGAGAGGGUGGUGGAAUUCCGGGUGUAGUGGUGAAAUGCGUAGAGAUCCGGAGGAACACCAGUGGCGAAAGCGGCCACAUGGCAUGCACCUGACGCUCCAACACGAAAGCUAGGGGAGCGAACGGG
rnacentral:rRNA from 1 species